rnacentral:lncRNA from 1 species
CUUUUCGAGGUAGGAGUCGACUCCUGUGAGGUAUGGUGCUGGGUGCAGAUGCAGUGUGGCUCUGGAUAGCACCUUAUGGACAGUUGUGUCCCCAAGGAAGGAUGAGAAUAGCUACUGAAGUCCUAAAGAGCAAGCCUAACUCAAGCCAUUGGCACACAGGUAUGGAGAGUCGGCUUGACUACACUGUGUGGAGCAAGUUUUAAAGAAGCAAAGGACUCAGAAUUCAUGAUUGAAGAAAUGCAGGCAGACCUGUUAUCCUAAACUAGGGUUUUUAAUGACCACAACAAGCAAGCAUGCAGCUUACUGCUUGAAAGGGUCUUGCCUCACCCAAGCUAGAGUGCAGUGGCCUUUGAAGCUUACUACAGCCUCAAACUUCUGGGCUCAAGUGAUCCUCAGCCUCCCAGUGGUCUUUGUAGACUGCCUGAUGGAGUCUCAUGGCACAAGAAGAUUAAAACAGUGUCUCCAAUUUUAAUAAAUUUUUGCAAUCCA